rnacentral:lncRNA from 1 species
CGAGGUUUUACAAGAAAAUUCAUGUGCGGACUACAAAAUUGAAUAUCCUUCCUUGUAUAUAGUAGUAAUAAAAGAAAAAAUAUUUCCAAAAGAAGCUUGACAACAGUGACUUCCAACCAAUUAUUGACAGCAUGAACAACAAGCUUUCUGGUUAGAAGAUGAAGUUCUUCAACAUGGCUGGCAGAACCAUGCUAGCUAGGGCUUCUCUAGGAAGCAUCCCCUUUCACAUUAUGUAGUACAUCAAAAUCCCUGCAAAAGUCCACAACUCUAAAUAUAGAAACCAAAGGAACUUUAUUUGAGGUACUACUGCUGAAAAGAAAAGAGAAAAGCUUUACAUAGUAAACUAAACAUGCUUACAAGCUCUAAAGAAAAAGAAGGUAUCCAAAAAAGAGAUAUCAAGAAUAGAGAUUCUUCAUAUCAACCUCUACUAGAGUAUCUACCACAAUCAUGAAAACAUGUGGAGUACUAUUCUUAUCAAUAAAUACUCUAAGCCUAAACCCAAUUGGAGAGUUAAGCAUGUCUCCAAAACAUGGGGGGUCUCUCUUGGAUGGAUGGAGGGAUAGGAAAGAUGGUCACAGAUGGGUGGCCCAUAAGAGAAUUAGAGUCAACUUCUUUAAUGACAUCCAAACUCCCCCAAUAGAGCACUAUUAGAAGUAUGAUUCGGGGUCCCCUACUAAGGGAGGAAGAUAUCCUUAAGAUAAGUGACUUUAAUAGAAAUGGACUCUGGAACCUCUCUGGGUUAUCCAUAUCCCUUCCUGACCACCUUAUAGCUUGGAUUGUCAACACUCGCCACCUCCACCCCAAUAAAACUAAAGAAAACCAGCUAGUUUGGGGUCUCACAACAAAUGGAAGGUUAUCUACUAACAGUGCAUAUAUCUUUAUCCACAUCAAUAUUGUCGAAGGACAUCAAGUCAGCAACACACACAACUUUAAAUGGAUCUAGAGAAUCUAACGCCCUAACAAGAUCAAGAACUUCCUCUGGCUCAUGAACCAUACCAGACAUCCUACAGCUAAAUACCUCCAUAGACUAGGCAUUAAUGUUGACCAAUAUUGUCACUUAGACAUUACUCAUAUCUUCUUUAAGUGUGCAAAUCCCUCUGACUUCUGAGCUAAGGUUACCUGCAACAACACUCAUGCUUGCAUUUUUCAUAUGUUCAACCUUUCCAUUGAAAUUGGAAGAAUCUUUGAAAUCCUCUUUAGAGGGAAACCCUAUAAUGUUAUGCUCUCUUGGAACUUCAUGCUUCUCUUUUGUUUUUUUUGGAACAUUUGGUUUUAAAGGAAUAACAACUUUUUAAACGAAAGGAAAAGGAACACCUCAUUCAACCUAGCACUCUUCCAAGUUACUGAGUACCACCUUCUCAUCGACCAAACUCCCAUCCCUAAAGGACAACCAUAUACAAUCCUUGUCAAAUGGAACUCCGCUCCUCUUGAGACUUACAUGCUUAACACUGAUGGUUCUGUCAUGUUCAGCCUUGGUAUUGGCGGAAUCAGAGGUAUUAUUAGAAACCAUAGAGGGGAUUGGACCCUGGAUUCAAUGGCCCCUCACAUGAAUUCCAUAAUGGAAGAGCUCAAAGCCCUACAAGGCUCAUGCUAGCUAUUAAGUACAAUCUCUCUCUCUCCCCCCCCCCCCCCUUGAAACAAAUCUCGACUCUCUAGAAGUCAUAAAUAUGCAAAAUCAUGAUAAUAUGCAUUCUUCUAACAUUCUUGUGGAGUGCAGAUCUCAAAUUCAAUUAAGAGCAUCGGCACCAAC